rnacentral:misc_RNA from 1 species
ACAAACUUGGUCAUUUAGAGGAAGUAAAAGUCGUAACAAGGUCUCCGUAGGUGAACCUGCGGAGGGAUCAUUAUAGAAAACUUCUAAUGGCCAAGGGGGGGAGAGGGGGGGUUUUGUGGCUUAAUAUGCUCUCUUCUCUUCUCUUCUCUUCCUUGGACAAACAACCAACACACAUGACUAGGAAAAACAGCGCAGCGCAGCAGUGUAGACUGGAGGAAUGACUUGGCUGGGAUCCUCGCAGCACGCACAACCCGCAAAAGUUCUUGUCUGAUAAGUAGCUUGCUGAUUUGGAGUUACUACAAUUCAAUACAACUUUCAACAACGGAUCUCUUGGCUCUCACAUCGAUGAAGAACGCAGC